rnacentral:rRNA from 1 species
AUUGAGCGCUGGCGGCAUGCCUUACACAUGCAAGUCGAACGGUAACAGGUUAAGCUGACGAGUGGCGAACGGGUGAGUAAUGUAUCGGAACGUGCCCAGUCGUGGGGGAUAACUACUUGAAAGAGUGGCUAAUACCGCAUACGACCUGAGGGUGAAAGCGGGGGAUCGCAAGACCUCGCGCGAUUGGAGCGGCCGAUAUCAGAUUAGCUAGUUGGUGAGGUAAAGGCUCACCAAGGCGACGAUCUGUAGCUGGUCUGAGAGGACGACCAGCCACACUGGGACUGAGACACGGCCCAGACUCCUACGGGAGGCAGCAGUGGGGAAUUUUGGACAAUGGGCGCAAGCCUGAUCCAGCCAUGCCGCGUGUGGGAAGAAGGCCUUCGGGUUGUAAACCACUUUUGUCGGGGAAGAAACGGUUUGGGCUAAUACCCUGAGCUAAUGACGGUACCCGAAGAAUAAGCACCGGCUAACUACGUGCCAGCCGCCGCAGUAA